UUAAAGUAUAAUUAUCUAAAUAGUUAGAGUCUCUAUGUUGGCAUCAUCCAAUCAUUGCCAGUUCUGUGGUCUUUAAUUUUCUUUUUUUUUUGGUAAAUGAUUUCCAAUGCUUUGUUUUCCUCUUUUGGUACCUAGUACUAUGAUAACUUACUUAUGUGGAGUCAGAUUUCUAAUAACCUGAUUAUGAUCCUUGAAGUAAGCCAGAGAGAUCACUCAGAUCUAAAGGCCACUGCCCCAGACCUGUGCAGGGCAACUAUAUACUUUACUUUUUAGGCUUUUACUCAGAAUAUUAUGGACUUCUAACAUCUAGCUCUCAUCAGGAUCGGACAUCUGAUCUUGUACCCUUAAGUAGAUUGGAAGCUUCAAACUCAGAAGAGGAGGAUGAGCGCCGCCAGGUACCUUGAACAGGUUAUCUUCUGCUCGUGGCCCAGGAAUACCGGGAGUUCCACCUUCCGGAGAUAAAGUCUUUGCUUUCAUUUUUUGAAGGUUAGUUCACCAGUAGUCAGGAAACUUACGAAAAGUCUCCUUUUUGGAUUCUUAGCAUUCCCUCUGAAGAUAUUGCCAGAAACUUAAUUUUUCUGUGUGUGCCAAGUCUAUAUUUGAACUAUGGGGUCAUGGAAAGUGUCUGGAGGAGCUGUACAGUUUUCUGAAAAGCUGCCCUGUUGAGAAAAUGGUUCCAUUUCUGCAUUCAGAUUCUACAUGUAAAAUAAAGAUUCACACAUUUAAUAAAACAUUUACACAAGAAGAAAAAGUCAGAUGAAUAGAUGCACUUGAAUUUCUGCCAUUUGAAGGGAAAGUGAAUUUAAAGAAGCCACAACAUGUAUUCUCUAUUUUGGAGGAUUAUGGUUAGGACCCAAACCACAUCCCUGAGAAUCCACAUAAUAUUUAUUUUGGUAGAUGAAUUGCAGAUAAACAGAGAGAACUUACUGAGUCAUACAGUGUCAAAAAGAGACACUUUAUUUGAAAUACAAGCAUGGAUGCGGGUUUAUCAUUCAUCAUGGCCAACCAUGGAAAAGUAAAAAAAAAUGAUACUGUAUUUGAUCCAUUUGUUGGAACAGGUGGCCUUCUGAUAGCUUCUGCUCAUUUUGGUGCAUAUGUAUAUGGGACAGACAUAGACUACAAUACUGUUCAUGGCUUGGGAAAGGCCACCUUGAUGUCUUGGUUUCAGAUGCAUCUAAACCUUCCUGGAAGAAGGGCACAUAUUUUGAAACAAUCAUCACUGAUCUUCCAUAUGGUAUUAGAGAAUCCACAAGAAGACCAGGUCAUGAAAGGAAAUACCAAAGGGAAUAGAAAAAUAUCCAGAAAGCCACGUUCCUGUUUCCUUGAGUUAUCAUCGGUGUGAUAUGUUCUUUGACCUGUUAAAGUUCUCAGCAGAGACCCUCGUAUUGCGUGGAAGACUCAUCUAUUGGUUACCAGUAUACACACAGGAAUACACUGAGCAGAUGGCAUCCUGGCACCUCUGCUUGAAACUCACCAGCAACUGCGAGCAGAAGCUUUCCAGUCACACAUCAAGGUGCUUGAUAACAAUGGAAAAGGUGAAGGAAUUUGAGAACCGGGACCAGUAUUCACAUUUGCUGAGCAAUCACUUUCUUCUGUACCCAGGUCAUAAUUCCUUCUGUGAGAAUAUUUCAGUGGGGUAAGAUAAAGGAUUACCAAGGAAGAAAAAUCUAGCAGGAAUGAAAAAUUAAGGUUUUUGACAAUGGAGAAAGAAUAAGGAUUUGAUAGAAAAGACAUCUGUAUGUGAAUUUUUAUGUAUAAUACAGAAAAUGUACUGUUUUAAAUAAAUUUAUUUAAUAAAAUAAAUGCAACAAAAAAGAGGAGGAUAAAAGUUUAUCAGAGGAAGAAAUAAUAACAGAGAACAAGAGGUAUUAUGUUUGGCAAGUAAUAGGGAAAACAGGUAGAUGGAAUUGUUCCUUGCCCAGCCAAAUACAUCUUUAUUAGUGUUGAUGCUCAUUAGCCUCAUAAGAGUAAAAUUUAUUUAUUUAUUUAUUUUUUAUAAGAUUAAAAUUUAUGUUCAGUAUUCUCUCUUUAAGACAGCAGGAAAAAAAAGAAGCAGGGAUUGGGAAGGUUUGACCUUUUUUAUGUUUAAAGGUUUGGUUCUUAAAAAGAUAGACUUUAUUUAAAUGAAUUUGGAUAAAUCGCUUCUUUUGCUAAUGCUAGUUUAUCUUAUGGGAGGUGGUAGGUUGGCAGAUCCCUAAAUCAACAUAAGUUAAAAAUGUGCCUAAUCAAAGUGCAGUUUUUACUUUUAUUUCAUCUAUCUUUCCCAUUUCUAUUGCCCUACAAGAUCAGUAAGCAUAAUGGUUUUUAAAAUUUAAACUACCGUUUUCCUUGCUAUGCCUCCUUUGAAAGUAUAUCUCUGGUAGUGUUCCUAAGAAUGGCACCAAUUUAGACAAAGUUUCAAAGAGUUUUGUUUGGGAUAAAUUGUCUUUUUCCUUUAAUC